AGUCUUAUAUUCAAUUAUGAUUAUAAAUUGCAAAUUUAUAGGUGAAAAAAAUUCUAAGGCUU
rnacentral:tRNA from 1 species